CGCAUGCAAACAGGUACACAUUAUUGUACAUAACUAGCACAAACUAACACAAGAAUAACAAUAUCUAAAAAACGUGCCAAAGAUGGAGAAGCACAAACGAGACUAGGUCCCAUGCAUGGUGCUCGCCAUUAAUUAGUCCGGACAGUUCAGACAAAACAACACAUUAAUAUAGAAUAGAAAAAGUACACUAGAAGAAGUACAGAAAUUAAGAGAGAGGAGAAGAGAACGACUGAUCUAGAAGAUAUUAUUCAGUCGUGAUCAAUGAGUGUGAGCUAGGUACGUCAGGAGUGUAAGCAGUAGCAGUAAGUUGGAGGUAAGACUUGUGGAGGUAUGUUUUGAAGGAGGAGAGAGUGUCGAAGCUGUUCGAAGGAGCAGUUUUACCAGGGCCGCCCAGAGGGGGGGGGGGGCAGGGGGGGAGGGGCCAAAUUGCCCCGGGCCCCGAGUUGCUGGGGGGCCCUGAAAAAUUUUUGUUGGGCCCCAGCCUUUUUUGUGUGUUAAAUAUUUCCGGGACACCAGACUUCACAUCCGUACGUGAGCUGUGUUUUAACC